UAAUUUGUCAUUCCAGCCUUUAUUUUUGUAAAACUGUUGAACGUUUUAUUGCAUUUUUUUUUUUAUCAAUUUCUCAGUUGGUUGUGGGAAAUAAAAACACAAAUCAGGUUUUCUAUGAUAUAAAGAUUUUAGAUAUCUGGAUGGGAAAGUUUGUCACUUAUGGAGGAGGAAAUGAAGUUUUUAUUCUGGUUUUAGGCUCAGGACAGAAAUCCAGACUUGAUGUUCAUUUAUUUCAGUCUUUAUCAGGAAAAUAAUGCAUUAAAAUUUCAUCAGAAGCCUGAAACACCCCAGGAUUCUGUGUAUUGUAUUGUGGGCUUUAUGGCCCUUAUUGUUGUUCCAUCAGGUCUCCCUAGCAAGAAAGCAACACCAGAAGGAGGUGGAGAACAUCGCUCAGCUGGAGCAGGAGAAGUUUAACCUGACAGAGCAGGUGGAGCAUCUAAGAGACACGGUGAAGGGCAUGGGAUACGUAAUCCUUGACCUGAACAUGGAGUUUGCUAAUCUAAUGAAAGCACAUGAGCGAGAGCAGGACGCUCCCAGGAUCCUCCAAGUGAAGAACGACAAGCUGAAGAAGACCCUGAAUCAUGAGGAGGAGAUACUGAAGGUCUCCUUGGCUGAAGCUGAGGAGCAACACCAGAGGGAUGAGGAGACCAUUGAUUAAAAUUCUAUUUUCAAGUUGCAAGAUUCAAUCUGCAGCUCAUUGCAGAUGUGAAGGUUAAGCUCUUG